GGUGUAGGGGGUGGGGGAGGGGAGGAAAGGAGGGUAGAAAGAAGAGGCAUAGAGAAAAAGAAAUAAAAGUGAAAAGAAACGUAGAAGAAAUGUAGAGGUAUAGAUACCGGCUGGCAGCAGCCUCACGCACCACACGCCGAGGAGCAAAUGGCUCCGCCGAGGUCUCCCCGCGCAUUAAAUCCCCUAAGGCCCCGCCCCGCGCAGCCGCACUGGGAUCCCUCACACCUGUGCCGGCCCCGCCCCUCGCACCUGUGCAGGCCCCGCCCCCGGGGCCCCGCCUCCCCCCCGCCCCUCGCCUGCCCAUAAAUCCCAGCGGAUCCGCGCCCGCUCUGCUUUCUGCGGUGGAUGCUCGUCCUGGGAUACGGCGGGACUGUCGGUCGGAGCGCUGUGCGGAGAUUCCGGUCGGGAGCUGAUGCCGGUGCUGCGCGGUGACCGAGAUGCUCAGGAAGAAGUGAACAAGACAAGUCCUGAGGGUUACCUUGCUCUGCAGCCAAAGUUGUUCUGGAGAGUGGCAGGGGGCAUUUCCUGCAGAUACUAAAUCCCAGGCAGUAGCCCUUGGAGAUACCUGCAAAUCAGAGGUUGGAGUGAGAUGAAGUUUGGAGUUCUUCAGGGAGCCAGUUGGAAGUGCAGAAGUGAUGGAAAGCUUUUACAGGUGGGUCCCACUGGAGGUGUGCUGAAGACAGAUGUUCAGCCCUUUCCUGAGAGAGAAGCAUUUGUAGAGGCUGCUGCUGAGGCUCUGGAAGGAGCUGAGCU